GGGAAGGGUCAGCGGGAGGCCUGAGGGCGCCGGGCGCUGAGGCAGGCGGGCGCGGGGUCCAGCCGAGAGGGUCCCGGCGCCAGGCAACGCGAUUCGCGCGGGGGUGAAGCCGGGGAGGGGGUUGGCCUCUCGUUCUGGGACCUUUCGCUCCCCUGGGACCUGGGGCCGCCGCCCACAGACCAUGCUCCUGGGGCGCCUGACUUCCCAGCUGUUGAGGGCCGUUCCCUGGGCAGGUAGGAAGCCCCGCGGGGGCGGAUGGGAGGAUACACGCCUGAUUAGGAGUGCGGGUCUCAGCAGCUCCGCUGGGGCAGGGCCCGUGGCCACACACUCUUUCCCCUCUAAGCUUCCGAUGCUCACAGAGGGAACCUCAGGGGUUCAGGCCAGGAAUGAGGUGCGGGGGAUCCUCGCUGGGACGAACGUGCUGCUCCCCAACCCGACGGGCUUGUGUGGUCUCGCGAGCGGUGACCGUGGCGUCUGGUUUUCUGCAGGCGGCCGCCCGCCUUGGCCUGUCUCUGGAGUGCUGGGCAGCCGGGUCUGCGGGCCCCUUUACAGCACACCGCCGGCCGGCCCAGGUAGGGCGGCCUCUCUCCCUCGCAAGGGGGCCCAGCUGGAGCUGGAAGAGAUGCUGGUCCCCAGGAAGAUGUCCGUCAGCCCCCUGGAGAGCUGGCUCACGGCCCGCUGUUUUCUGCC
rnacentral:sRNA from 1 species